rnacentral:rRNA from 1 species
UACGUAGGAGGCGAGCGUUGUCCGGAAUCACUGGGUGUAAAGCGCGUGUAGGCGGCCUGCCAAGUCUGCUGUGAAAGCGCCUGGCUUAACCGGGCGAGGUCGGUGGAAACUGGCGGGCUGGAGGACGGUAGAGGGGGGUGGAAUUCCCGGUGUAGUGGUGAAAUGCGUAGAGAUCGGGAGGAACACCAGUGGCGAAGGCGGUCCUCUGGGCCGGGUCUGACGCUGAGGCGCGAAGGCGUGGGGAGCGAUCCGG